GGUUAAAUAGUCUACAUAGGAUUUUAAAUUGCAAAUUUAAAGGAAAAUUAUUAAAUUUUUUAACUU
rnacentral:tRNA from 1 species